rnacentral:rRNA from 1 species
UACGGAGGAUCCAAGCGUUAUCCGGAAUCAUUGGGUUUAAAGGGUCCGUAGGCGGUUUUAUAAGUCAGUGGUGAAAUCCGGCAGCUCAACUGUCGAACUGCCAUUGAUACUGUAGGACUUGAAUUAUUAUGAAGUAACUAGAAUAUGUAGUGUAGCGGUGAAAUGCUUAGAUAUUACAUGGAAUACCAAUUGCGAAGGCAGGUUACUAAUAAUACAUUGACGCUGAUGGACGAAAGCGUGGGGAGCGAACAGG